rnacentral:rRNA from 1 species
UCCGGUUGAUCCUGCCAGAGGUUACUGCUAUCGAGGUUCGACUAAGCCAUGCGAGUCGAAUGUAGCAAUACAUGGCGUACUGCUCAGUAACACGUGGACAACCUGCCCUUAGGUUGGGUAUAAACCCGGGAAACUGGGUAUAAUCCCCUAUAAGUCUCGGCUGCUGGAAUGCACCGAGAUUAAAAGCUCCGGCGCCUAAGGAUGGGUCUGCGGCCUAUCAGGUAGUAGUGGGUGUAGCGUACCUACUAGCCUACGACGGGUACGGGUUGUGAGAGCAAGAGCCCGGAGAUGGAUUCUGAGACACGAAUCCAGGCCCUACGGGGUGCAGCAGGCGCGAAAACUUUACAAUGCUGGCAACAGCGAUAAGGGAACCUCGAGUGCCAGGUUACAAAUCUGGCUGUCGAGAUGCCUAAAAAGCAUUUCAUAGCAAGGGCCGGGCAAGACCGGUGCCAGCCGCCGCGGUAACACCGGCGGCUCGAGUGGUAACCGUUAUUAUUGGGUCUAAAGGGUCUGUAGCCGGCCGGAUAAGUCUCUUGAGAAAUCUGGCAGCUUAACUGUCAGGCUUUCAGGAGAUACUGUCUGGCUCGAGGCCGGGAGAGGUGAGAGGUACUUCAGGGGUAAGGGGUGAAAUC